CAACGACUCUCAGCAACGGAUAUCUCGGCUCUCGCAUCGAUGAAGAACGUAGCGAAAUGCGAUACUUGGUGUGAAUUGCAGAAUCCCGUGAACCAUCGAGUCUUUGAACGCAAGUUGCGCCCGAAGCCGUCAGGCCGAGGGCACGUCUGCCUGGGCGUCACGC
rnacentral:rRNA from 1 species